rnacentral:ribozyme from 1 species
ACAAAUAAUAAAAGAAAAAAAAGAAAAGAAAACAGAUAAUUUGAAUAAUUUGGAUGAUGUUCUGUGGUGUCUAAUUUUCUUUUUUCCUUCUCAUUCGUUGAUUUUAAUUGU